rnacentral:rRNA from 1 species
UUCGAGUGGCGGACGGGUGAGUAACGCGUGGGUAACCUGCCUUACACAGGGGGAUAACACCUGGAAACAGGUGCUAAUACCGCAUAAGCGCACAGGGCCGCAUGGCCCGGUGUGAAAAACUCCGGUGGUGUAAGAUGGACCCGCGUCUGAUUAGCUUGUUGGCGGGGUAGGGGCCCACCAAGGCGACGAUCAGUAGCCGGCCUGAGAGGGUGAACGGCCACAUUGGGACUGAGACACGGCCCAAACUCCUACGGGAGGCAGCAG